rnacentral:rRNA from 1 species
UACGGAGGGGGCUAGCGUUAUUCGGAAUUACUGGGCGUAAAGCGCACGUAGGCGGACUGAAAAGUCAGAGGUGAAAUCCCAGGGCUCAACCGUGGAACUGCCUUUGAAACUGUCUGACUUGAGGUCGAGAGAGGUGAGUGGAAUUCCGAGUGUAGAGGUGAAAUUCGUAGAUAUUCGGAGGAACACCAGUGGCGAAGGCGGCUCACUGGCUCGAUACUGACGCUGAGGUGCGAAAGCGUGGGGAGCAAACAGG